AUGCUCGUUAACGGCGUCAGAGAAGCAGAAAACCAGAGAAUCUUCAGUGAGAUGUCAGGUUUCGGAUUGAAGUAUAAAGGCAAUGAUGUCGGUUCCAGAAUGGGUAUGCUGAAGUUCUUGCAGCCAUCUCACUUGGAUGGUAGCUUCCCUUAUAGCAUGAUUUUUGGUAAGGGUGAUCUUUUGGCUUGGAAAAACUCAUACUAA